CCUACGGGAGGCAGCAGUGGGGAAUAUUGCACAAUGGGGGAAACCCUGAUGCAGCGACGCCGCGUGAGCGAAGAAGUAUUUCGGUAUGUAAAGCUCUAUCAGCAGGGAAGAAAAUGACGGUACCUGACUAAGAAGCCCCGGCUAACUACGUGCCAGCAGCCGCGGUAAUACGUAG
rnacentral:rRNA from 1 species